rnacentral:rRNA from 1 species
CCCUUAGAUGUUCGGGGCCGCACGCGCGCUACACUGAAGGAAUCAGCACGUCUUUCUCCUUGUCCGAAAGGACUGGGUAACCCGCCGAACCUCCUUCGUGCUAGGGAUUGGGGCUUGUAAUUCUUCCCCAUGAACGAGGAAUUCCCAGUAAGCGCGAGUCAUAAGCUCGCGUUGAUUACGUCCCUGCCCUUUGUACACACCGCCCGUCGCUACUACCGAUUGGAUGGUUUAGUGAGAUCCUCGGAUUGGUCCCGGAGCGGCCUCUGGUCGUGCCGGAGUGCCGAAAAGAAUGUCGAACUUGAUCAUCUAGAGGAAGUAAAAGUCGUAACA